AUUGAACGCUGGCGGCCGGCCUAACACAUGCAAGUCGAGCGAGCGGAGGACGGGUGAGGAAUGUAUGGGGAUAUGCCCGAUCGAGGGGGAUAACUACUGGAAACGGUGGAUAAUACCGCAUACUAGCGGAUGACACCAUAGGGGAUUAGCUAGUAGGGGGGGAAAAGGCUCACCUAGGCGAAGAUCUCUAGAUGGUCUGAGAGGAGGAUAAGCCAAACUGGGACUGAGACACGGCACAGACUCCUACGGUAGGUAACAGUGGGGAAUAUUGCACAAUGGGCGAAAGCCUUAUGCAGCCAUGCCGCGUGUAUGAAGAAGGUCUUCGGAUUGUAAAGCACUUUAAGUUUGGAGGCGUUACCAACAGAAUAAGCACCGGCUAACUUCGUGCUAGCAGCCGCGGUAAUAC
rnacentral:rRNA from 1 species